AUUGAACGCUGGCGGCAUGCUUUACACAUGCAAGUCGGACGGCAGCGGGGUAGUGCUUGCACUACUGCCGGCGAGUGGCGAACGGGUGAGUAAUAUAUUGGAACGUACCGAGUAAUGGGGGAUAACCAAUCGAAAGAUUGGCUAAUACCGCAUACGCUCUGAGGAGGAAAGCAGGGGACCUUCGGGCCUUGCGUUAUUCGAGCGGCCAAUAUCUGAUUAGCUAGUUGGUGGGGUAAGGGCCUACCAAGGCGACGAUCAGUAGCGGGUCUGAGAGGAUGAUCCGCCACCCUGGGACGGAGACACGCCCCAGACUCCUACGGGAGGCAGCAGUGUGGAAUUUUGGACAAUGGGCGCAAGCCUGAUCCAGCCAUGCCGCGUGUCUGAAGAAGGCCUUCGGGUUGUAAAGGACUUUUGUUAGGGAAGAAAAAGGAGCGGUUAAUACCCGUUUCUGCUGACGGUACCUAAAGAAUAAGCACCGGCUAACUACGUG
rnacentral:rRNA from 1 species